AGUGAACGCUGGCGGCGUGCCUAAUACAUGCAAGUCGAACGGAGACUAAGUAGCUUGCUAUUUAAUCUUAGUGGCGCACGGGUGAGUAAUAUAUAGCUAACUUGCCCAUUACUAAGGGACAACAGUUGGAAACGACUGCUAAUACCUUAUACUCCGUAUCUAUAUAAGUAGAUACGGGAAAGUUUUUCGGUAAUGGAUAGGGCUAUAUCGUAUCAGCUAGUUGGUAAGGUAAUGGCUUACCAAGGCUAUGACGCGUAACUGGUCUGAGAGGAUGAUCAGUCACACUGGAACUGAGGCACCGUCCAGACUCCUACGGGAAGCAGCAGUAGGGUAUAUUGCUCAAUGGGGGAAACCCUGAAGCAGCAACGCCGCGUGGAGGAUGACACUUUUCGGAGCGUAAACUCCUUUUCUUGGGAAAGAAUUAUGACGGUACCCAAGGAAUAAGCACCGGCUAACUCCGUG
rnacentral:rRNA from 1 species